CUGCUUCCCCCUCUCACGCGCGCAUGCGAGUCCCGGAACGGUCGAGCAGUUUUGUUUUUUUUCGGAAAGGGCAGUUUUGUUUUUUUGGAUAGAAGUGAGCACCUCUGCCUCUCCCGAUACCGAGUACGCCGGGCUUUGCUGGGCCCGGAAGGAAGUCUUUGAAGAGUAGUUUUCAGGAAAUGGAAGAGUAAGGCUUACCAUCCAUUCAACAAAAGUUUGAGCAAUUGAAAACAUACAUACACACAAGAAACAACUAGAAAUGUGUCAUGCUGAUAAAACACAGCAAUGUGAUGGAGAACAACUGGGCGGUUACCUUACAAUAUAUAGGAAGAAGAAAUAGAAGAUAAAGGAGAUGAAAAGCAAAACCAAGAACCACAAAGGAUGAAGUUGAGAGAGAAUUAUUGGUGAAGAUUUUGAGACUGGGCCUUAAAGUCAGCUGUGGACUUGAAAUGUACUGAAGUGAAAAGAAUGGGGCCAAGGAGGUUUUAAGAAGUGCUACUGUGGGUUACAAGUUGAAUUACCUAUAGUAUUCAAGUAAUGGAAGUAAAGAUUAAAAUGACUUUUAAAUUAUCUUUGAUUAUGGAACCAAAUUCUGUGGAGUGUGAAGCCCUGCCAAGACUGGGUCCUGC